rnacentral:rRNA from 1 species
GAUGAACGCUGGCGGCGUGCCUAAUACAUGCAAGUCGAGCGAACGGACGAGAAGCUUGCUUCUCUGAUGUUAGCGGCGGACGGGUGAGUAACACGUGGAUAACCUACCUAUAAGACUGGGAUAACUUCGGGAAACCGGAGCUAAUACCGGAUGAUAUUUUGAACCGCAUGGUUCAAAAGUGAAAGACGGUCUUGCUGUCACUUAUAGAUGGAUCCGCGCUGCAUUAGCUAGUUGGUAAGGUAACGGCUUACCAAGGCAACGAUGCAUAGCCGACCUGAGAGGGUGAUCGGCCACACUGGAACUGAGACACGGUCCAGACUCCUACGGGAGGCAGCAGUAGGGAAUCUUACGGCAUGGGCGAAAGCCUGACGGAGCAACGCCGCGUGAGUGAUGAAGGUCUUCGGCUCGUAAAACUCUGUUAUUAGGGAAGAACAUAUGUGUAAGUAUCUGUGCACAUCUUGACGGUACCUAAUCAGAAAGCCACGGCUAACUACGUG